rfam:Intrasporangium calvum DSM 43043, complete genome.
GGCGUUUUUCGCUCAGGCGGAGCUCGACCGCCGACUGCGGUGAUCGUGGCCUACAUCGACACCUACCGGGCCCGCUUCGGCGUCGAGCCGAUCUGUACCGUGCUGUCCGAGCACGGCAUGAAGAUCGCGCCG